UUUAGGUCUCAGUUUUAGUCACAUAUUAUUUAUCAGUCACAUAUUAACAAAUUUAAUUAUCACAAGCAACCACUGCUACGACCACCAUCGUAGCUAGCAUCACAACCACCACCACCCACAAAUCGCCAUCAUCACACCACCUCACUGUUGCUGUUGUCUCCAUCCCACCACUACACCACCACCUCUACAACUUGCGCUGCCACCAUCAACUCUUCACCAACAAAUCAGAUCCCACCAUCACUACUUCCACCAUUUUCAACCAACACCACACCCAAAACCACCAUACCAGCAUCGAUGAUUUUAGAGACCUCCAAAAUCAAUACCGUCGCAGAUCUACCAACAUUCUAAGACCAAAACCAUCCUUACCUCGCAAAUCCACACCGCUGCCACCACCACCAGCUUUCCACCAUCAUUGUCAUCAUCACUUCCACGAUUUUCAACCAACACAACACCCAAACCACCAUACCAGCAGCGAUGAUUUUAGAAACUUUCAAAAUCGAUACCGACGCCGAUCCACCAACAUUCUAAAACCAAAACCAUCCUUACCUCGCUACAGAUCCACCAAUACUGACGCGAAGCACAGUCUUGCAGUGAUGAUUGGAUGAUUGGAGCAUCGAUGUCUCGGCGUCGUCCAAGUGCGUGAAACAACAACUGUUUGAUGGCGCCGGAGAGACAACAGAGAAGGGAGGGAGGGAGAGGAGGAGGGAGAGUUACAGGUUUGCUGGUUAGUGAG
rnacentral:lncRNA from 1 species